rnacentral:rRNA from 1 species
GACGAACGCUGGCGGCGUGCUUAACACAUGCAAGUCGAACGGAAAGGCCCUGCUUUUGUGGGGUGCUCGAGUGGCGAACGGGUGAGUAACACGUGAGUAACCUGCCCUUGACUUUGGGAUAACUUCAGGAAACUGGGGCUAAUACCGGAUAGGAGCUCCUGCUGCAUGGUGGGGGUUGGAAAGUUUCGGCGGUUGGGGAUGGACUCGCGGCUUAUCAGCUUGUUGGUGGGGUAGUGGCUUACCAAGGCUUUGACGGGUAGCCGGCCUGAGAGGGUGACCGGCCUAGUUGGUACUGAGAUGCGGCCCAGACUGCUACAAGAGGCAGCAGUGGGGAAUAGUGCACAAUGGGCGCAAGCCUGAUACAGCAGCGCCGCGUGCGGGAUGACGGCCUUCGGGUUGUAAACCGCUUUCGCCUGUGACGAAGCGUGAGUGACGGUAAUGGGUAAAGAAGCACCGGCUAACUACGUG